rfam:Gossypium hirsutum cultivar TM-1 chromosome 7, whole genome shotgun sequence
UCUUAAAAUUUUAUCCAUUUGUACGAUUUAAAACUGGUAUGGCUGACAAAAUAAUUAGAUAAUGACACAUGACAUGUUAUGUGUACUUCAUGUUGACGUACGAGGAUCAAUUUUAAAUAGCAAAAAUGGAUGCAAUUUUUAACA